rnacentral:tRNA from 1 species
GCCGGGGUAGCCUAGCCUGGUUUGGGCGCCAGACUCAUAAUCUGGAGAGCAACAAAGGGCCAUGUUAGCCCAAGCCCAGAAGUCGCGAGUUCGAAUCCCGCCCCCGGCACCA